UGAAUAAGGACCGGCUAAUUCCGUGCCAGCAGCCGCGGUAAUACGGAAGGUCCGGGCGUUAUCCGGAUUUAUUGGGUUUAAAGGGAGCGUAGGCCGCCCCUUAAGCGUGUUGUGAAAUGCGGGUGCUCAACAUCCGACUUGCAGCGCGAACUGGGGGGCUUGAGUGCGCCGAAAGUAGGCGGAAUUCGUGGUGUAGCGGUGAAAUGCUUAGAUAUCACGAAGAACUCCGAUUGCGAAGGCAGCUUACUGUAGCGCAACUGACGCUGAUGCUCGAAAGCGUGGGUAUCGAACAGGAUUAGAUACCCUGGUAGUCCACGCGGUAAACGAUGGAUGCUCGUUGUCGGCCUUUGUGGUCGGUGACCAAGCGAAAGCGUUAAGCAUCCCACCUGGGGAGUACGCCGGCAACGGUGAAACUCAAAGGAAUUGACGGGGGCCCGCACAAGCGGAGGAACAUGUGGUUUAAUUCGAUGAUACGCGAGGAACCUUACCCGGGAUUGAAAUGUACCUGACGAACUGCGAGAGUGGUUUUCCAGCAAUGGCAGGUAUGUAGGUGCUGCAUGGUUGUCGUCAGCUCGUGCCGUGAGGUGUCGGCUUAAGUGCCAUAACGAGCGCAACCCCUCUCUUCAGUUGCCAUCAGGUAAUGCUGGGCACUCUGGAGAUACUGCCACCGUAAGGUGUGAGGAAGGUGGGGAUGACGUCAAAUCAGCACGGCCCUUACGUCCGGGGCUACACACGUGUUACAAUGGCGCAUACAGAGAGUAGGUGGCAUGCGAAUGCCAUCCAAUCCUUAAAGUGCGUCUCAGUUCGGACUGGGGUCUGCAACCCGACCCCACGAAGCUGGAUUCGCUAGUAAUCGCGCAUCAGCCAUGGCGCGGUGAAUACGUUCCCGGGCCUUGUACACACCGCCCGUCAAGCCAUGGGAGUCUGGAGUACCUAAAGUCCGUAACCGCAAGGGUCGGCCUAGGGUAAAACAGGUGACUGGGGCUAAGUCGUAACAAGGUAGCCGUACCGGAAGGUGCGGCUG
rnacentral:rRNA from 1 species